GACGAACGCUGGCGGCGUGCUUAACACAUGCAAGUCGAACGGAAAGGCCCUGCUUUUGUGGGGUGCUCGAGUGGCGAACGGGUGAGUAAUACGUGAGUAACCUGCCCUUGACUUUGGGAUAACUUCAGGAAACUGGGGCUAAUACCGGAUAGGAGCUCCUGCUGCAUGGGGGGGGUUGGAAAGUUUCGGCGGUUGGGGAUGGACUCGCGGCUUAUCAGCUUGUUGGUGGGGUAGUGGCUUACCAAGGCUUUGACGGGUAGCCGGCCUGAGAGGGUGACCGGCCACAUUGGGACUGCGAUACGGCCCAGACUCCUACGGGCGGCAGCAGUGGGGAAUAUUGCACAAUGGGCGGAAGCCUGAUGCAGCAACGCCGCGUGCGGGAUGACGGCCUUCGGGUUGUAAACCGCUUUCGCCUGUGACGAAGCGUGCGUGACGGUAAUGGGUAAAGAAGCACCGGCUAACUACGUG
rnacentral:rRNA from 1 species